AUUGAACGCUGGCGGCAUGCCUUACACAUGCAAGUCGAACGGCAGCGGGGGAGAAGCUUGCUUUUCCUGCCGGCGAGUGGCGAACGGGUGAGUAAUACAUCGGAACGUGCCCUGUAGUGGGGGAUAACUAGUCGAAAGAUUAGCUAAUACCGCAUACGACCUGAGGGUGAAAGUGGGGGACCGCAAGGCCUCAUGCUAUAGGAGCGGCCGAUGUCUGAUUAGCUAGUUGGUGGGGUAAAGGCCUACCAAGGCGACGAUCAGUAGCUGGUCUGGGAGGACGAUCAGCCACACUGGGACUGAGACACGGCCCAGACUCCUACGGGAGUCAGCAGUGGGGAAUUUUGGACAAUGGGCGAAAGCCUGAUCCAGCAAUGCCGCGUGUGUGAAGAAGGCCUUCGGGUUGUAAAGCACUUUUGUCCGGAAAGAAAUGGCUCUGGUUAAUACCUGGGGUCGAUGACGGUACCGGAAGAAUAAGGACCGGCUAGCUACGUGCCAGCCGCCGCCGUAA
rnacentral:rRNA from 1 species